AGAGGGAUAGCUCAGUGGUAGAGCACCGUGCUUAGCAUGCAUGAGGUCCUGUGUUCAAUUCUCAGUACCUCCA
rnacentral:tRNA from 1 species